rnacentral:rRNA from 1 species
GACGAACGCUGGCGGCGUGCUUAACUCAUGCCAGUCGAACGGAAAGGCCCUGCUUUUGUGGGGUGCUCGAGUGGCGAACGGGUGAGUAACACGUGAGUAACCUGCCCUUGACUUUGGGAUAACUUCAGGAAACUGGGGCUAAUACCGGAUAGGAGCUCCUGCUGCAUGGUGGGGGUUGGAAAGUUUCGGCGGUUGGGGAUGGACUCGCGGCUUAUCAGCUUGUUGGUGGGGUAGUGGCUUACCAAGGCUUUGACGGGUAGCCGGCCUGGGAGGGUGACCGGCCACAUUGGGACUGAGAUACGGCCCAGACUCCUACGGGAGGCAGCAGUGGGGAAUAUUGCACAAUGGGCGGAAGCCUGAUGCAGCAACGCCGCGUGCGGGAUGACGGCCUUCGGGUUGUAAACCGCUUUCGCCUGUGACGAAGCGUGAGUGACGGUAAUGGGUAAAGAAGCACCGGCUAACUACGUG